rnacentral:lncRNA from 1 species
AUCCUCGAUCACCGAGUCAACCCGGGCUUUCCGGUUCAUCGACAGCUUGAUCUCCGCCCUCUUGACGAGCGCAUCCCCGCGAUCCUCUUCGGUCAGGCUCUUCCGGCAGAGAGGGGACAGCGCGACGUCGAUGGCGUCGAGGGCUGAGGUCUUGUAUCCCUGGGCGUCGAGGGCGAGGGCUUUGAGGAUGUGGGCGGCGGCGUCCUUGGGGUCGAGGGCGAUGGCCUUCUCCGCCUCGUCGAGGGCCUGCUGGGAGAGAGAGGCGGUGGAGGAGCGGGAGUUGGCGGAUCGGGACUGACCAAGGAGCUGGGCGCCAAGGACGAAGU